UGGUCAUCUGCAUUAUCCUGGGGGCCCUGCUCUGCCUGGUCUUAAUCAUCCUGGGGGCGCAGGUGCGAAGUGCCAGGGCACAGCGCAGAGGCUCCAGAAGACCCUUGGAUCCCUUCUCUGAGGCCGUGUACGAGGAGAUUGAUUAUAACCUGAUGAGAGAGAAGCAGGAGAUGUUCAGUCGCUCAGUCUCCUAUUCAGAUGACUCAGUGGCAAAGCUGCAGUAUUA